ACGGGAAUGAGAAUUUGUGGAGCAGCUUCUCUUACUCCUCCCAUUGGUGAGAAGCAUCCAGUAUAUUCUCUGUCAUCCUACAAGAUGGAGGUUGCUAAAACCAUUACCCCUUUCACUAAGUUGUGACUGCUGAUCAUCCCUUGUGUGAAAUUUCCUAACUACUGAGCCAGCAGGAUAUCGGGUGCCCUAGACUUACAGCUGCUGAUGAGAGAAAAGAAAGUCAAGAAAGAUGUCGAGGAGAGAAAACAGCAAGGAGAAGGUGGGGAGAGACCGGGAUCUCACUAUGUUUCCUAGGCUGGUCUUGAGCUUCUGGCCUCAAGCUAUCUUCCCACUGUGGCCUCUCAUAGUGCUGGGAUUAUAGUCAUGAGCCACUGUGUCCAGACGAUUAUUUUUAGUUUGCUCUUCUGUUGAACAACCUGCUUCCAUGACUCAUAUUCAAGACAAGAAUCCUGGUCCAGCCCUGCUCACCAAUGAUUUCUACACCCAUCUGAAUGAAGAGCAGUGUGAGAACAGACUAAUACACCAUUCGAAGAAAAGGCUCCAGGUCACUGCCUCUUCAGCAAGGGCUCCAGAAUAAGAUUCAUGGAACACACCAGAACCCAUCGUAAAGCGUGAAGCAGAGCUACCUCAGCUGCCUGUGGGUGAGA
rnacentral:lncRNA from 1 species